rnacentral:rRNA from 1 species
AGUGACGCGUGGCGCAUGCUAACACAUGCAAGUCGAACGGCGAGCGACAAGGUAGCAAUAACCGGGUGGCGAGUGGCGGACGGGUGAGUAAUGCAUCGGGAUCUACCCAAACGUGGGGGAUAACGUAGGGAAACUUACGCUAAUACCGCAUACGUCCCAUGGGAGAAAGCGGGGGCUCGCAACACCUCGCGCGGUUGGACGAACCGAUGUGCGAUUAGCUAGUUGGCGGGGUAAUGGCCCACCAAGGCGACGAUCGCUAGCUGGUCUGAGAGGAUGAUCAGCCACACUGGGACUGAGACACGGCCCAG